rnacentral:snoRNA from 1 species
AUGGGCUGGGAAAAGGUUGCUGUGUGGCUGGGCCUGCUAUGGUCCAGCCUUGUACCUGUUAGCCUGACCUUGCCCUAGAAGAAAAGAAAAUACUUGGCAUACUCUGUUCUUGGGUCUGCCUCGUGCAGUAGCAGGUGUGAGCAUUCUGCCAGCAGCUUGAUGGUCAUGUAUGAUACUGCAUACAAAU